GGGCCUCUAAGGUGGGGUAAGAAGAAGCGAAGGGAAGCCAGAAGCUGGAAAAGAGGCGGGUUUUACCCUCUGGCAAGGCCCACGGAAAUGAAGGAGCCCCGGGAAGAGAGAGAACUCCAGCAGAUUGUACUUCUUAUGGCUGCCAAGGGGAAGGGAGAAGCUUUCAGAAAUCAGAAUUAAACCAAAACAUGAUUUUCCUGCUAGCCACCCCCUGCCACCAGGAUUCACGAGAAAGGACAGGUAUCUCUAACAACACAGAGUCUCCUGGGUUCUAUGGCCCAAGUGCCAAGGAGGCUUCUACCAUAUCCUGGACCUCCUAACAGCUGAAGGAUCAUCUGGUGUAUGGGCCUGACCAGUAUUUCCAAG